rnacentral:lncRNA from 1 species
UAGUUUCGCAAUUAGUCAUUGAUUUAGGACUGCAUAACUUAUCAAUUAGGUAAAAAGUAUUUGAUAAAUGGUCAUCUUGGAGCGUGUGACAGAUUUCACAACAAAUUCCACCAAUUUCAACCAGAGAAUUGGUUCACCGAAGCGAUCGCAUUUUGGAGCACUGAAAACGGGAAAUAUUGGUUUGAAAUACGUAGAAGCCUUAAAUUUUGUAGACAAAAAUGGCUACGAGCCACAACCCUCACCCUUUACCCCGCCGACCCUUCUCACCCCACCUCUGUAGUUACCUACCAGACCCCAUGAGGGGGGGGGAGGGGGAGCGGUUUCCUCAAAGGGAAAUGAUAAGCAACUACAAACCUUUUUCAAAUGUUUAUAAUUAGUAAUCCUAUCAAAAAUAUGGAACCCUCGGAACUUGUUGAACAAUUUUUUAAAUAUCUCCUCAAACAAUCACUCUUCCUUCCUUCACUUUGAAAUAUAAUCCUACCAAAAUGCCUUGGGGAAGAUAUGAAACCCUCGGAACUUGUUGUGAUUGAUUUAUUCAGGGAGCAAAGGGCGCGAUGAAAACUGUCUGUGAAAAUUAAUUAUUCAUUCAUGUUUGUCUCACACCUUCGGUCAGUGUGACAUGUGGUUUUAAGGAAUUAUACAGUGUUUUGCUUCUUUGAACAGAAACUUGACGUAUUCUGCAGGAUUCUGCGCUCGACUACUUCUAAAAGUAUGAUUUCUACUACGACUGUUUCCUUAACUCUGGUUAAGAGGCCCAAAUAUGGAGAUACUAGCGGGCUUCUGUAAAAUACCAGUAGCUUCACAUGAGGACUGCGGAAGAGAGAAUCACGUGGACUGUAAACUCUGCGAAGUCAAACAUGGAUUCAAAUAUCCGCUCAUUUGCAAAAACAUUGACAACCAAAAGGGAAUAGAGAGACGGAAAUGGAAACUGUUACGUAAUAAAAGGACUGGAAACAGGGACUAGGAAAUGAAUGAAGUGAAGUAAAAAAAAUCAGCU